ACGGAAGGCAGCAGUGAGGAAUAUUGGUCAAUGGGCGGGAGCCUGAACCAGCCAAGUAGCGUGGAGGAUGACGGCCCUACGGGUUGUAAACUCCUUUUGCCGGGGGAUAAAAAACGGGACGUGUCCCGUCUUGCAGGUACCCGCGCGAAUAAGGACCGGCUAAUUCCGUGCCAGCAGCCGCGGUAAUACGGAAGGUCCGAGCGUUAUCCGGAUUUAUUGGGUUUAAAGGGAGCGCAGGCGGAGAGGCAAGCCAGCCGUAAAAUCGUUGAGCUCAACUCAAUCUCGCGGUUGGAACUGCUUCCCUUGAGUGCACGAGAGGAUGGUGGAAUUCGUGGUGUAGCGGUGAAAUGCAUAGAUAUCACGAAGAACUCCGAUUGCGUAGGCAGCUGACCAGGCCGUAAAUGACGCUCAUGCACGAAAGUGCGGGGAUCGAACAGGAUUAGAUACCCUGGUA
rnacentral:rRNA from 1 species